AAAAGAACAAAGUUUUGUCCAUCUUUGUUCAUCAUAGCUGAAAGUUAGAGAAGAGAAAGGAGAGGAGAAAGCUCUUGAGUAUUCGGUCAUUAGGAGGAGGAAAAUUGAAGGUAAGUUCUUGGUACCUUGCUUCUAUUUUGAGGUUCAUGAGUUCUUCUUGAUUCUACCUUAACUCUUGAAGCAUAUUUCGGUUUUUGGUUGUGUUGUGAGCAUUUCGUCAUGAAUUAAAAUGAAGGAAAUGGUUGUUGUUUCAUGUUCUUUUGAUGAAAAAUGGAAGAUAUGUGAAGUUGAGCCAAACAAAUGAGCAUGCAUGUGCUUAGAUGCUAAGGGGAAAAAUCGGCUAAUAUGUUGUGCUUUAAAAUGAUGAAAUGGAGAUUAUACUUAAAUAAAAUCAUAGAUAUGUGAUGAUUUAUUGGUGAUAUACAUAUUUUAAAAAAAAUAUGCAUGCAAGUUAUGUGUGAAAGAGUGAUUUGGUAAUAAAUCUGCUUGGGACAGCAGCAGUAAUGUGACUUUGGAAAAUCACCAUAAAUUGUGGGAGAUGAGUUAGAAGCUGUAUAAAUUAUGUAAUUAAAGCUUAAUGAGUCUAGUUUCAAAUGAAAUAAACGAGAACAUAUUUUGAAUUCUAUACAAUAAGAAAUUUGAUUCGUAAUCAAGAGUGGUCAGAUUAGUCAAACAGUGAAACAUGCGAAACUUUGAGAAAAAUCUGGUAUUGAUUGGUCAAACCAAAAAUUUUGAAAAUUUUAUGGAUAUAAGAUAUAUGAGUCUAUUUUCAGGAAAUAUUAACGGCACUUGAUUUGGAGUUUCGUAGCUCCAGUUAUAAAUGAUUUAGUGACUGUUGCUCAGGAAGACAACUUGCAGUGAAAUUAUGAUUAUGUGGUAAACAUUGACAAAAAUUUGUUAAUGAGUUGCUUAUUGAUUUCUUAUAAGCUUACUAUGAUCUAUAGGUGUGGUUGGCCGAAUAUUGUAAGGGGUUAAUACGUAGUUUGUAUUUGAAUAGUUAGAUUAACGUGUUAGUAAUCCAAUUGUAGGCGGUUCGUGUGUGGAUCUCGUCAGCAUAUCGUCGCAAACAGGUGUGUAACUGACACCCUCUCAUAGACUAGAUUGGCAAAAGCAGAAAAGCCGAAAUGCUGAAAAUUCGGUACGCGCGAUUUCGUACAUUUUGAUAAUUUGGACUUAAUGGGCCAAAGAUCGGGUUCAUGGGCCAACGGGCCCAAUUCGGUAAGUAUGCGCGGUAAGUGUUCUGAUAAUACGUAAAUAGUUAGGAUAUGCAUGAAAACCCUAAAAGUAGCUAAAUUACUAUAAUACCUCUAUGUAUGGAAAAUUACUAUUAUACCCAUAGGUGCAAAAUUACCGUUAUACCCCUAGGGUUAAUUUUGACUGAAAAGCAUGACGAUCUGAUUCUGUAUGAUGUAUGCCAUGAUUAUAUAUCUGUUGCAUGGGGACAUGGGUUAUAUUAUGGAGGAAGCGUUCUGGUGGCUAUGCCACAAAUAUCUGAUCUGGUGGCUCUGCCACAUAUAUCUGUUCUGGUGGCUCUGCCACGAUUAUCUGUAUCUGGUGACUCUGCACAUUAUCUGUUCUGGCAGCCAUGCUGCAAAUUCUGUGGUGUGUAGCGGUUGGGUGGGUCGAGUUGUCUCCCCACACGGUGUAAGGUUGGUACGGGGUGUAUACGGUUGGAUAUGGUUGGGUUUCUGCAUAAACAUGUAAUAUCUGUUCUGUUCUGUUAUGGGCCUAUGGGCUUUAUUCUGAAUUCUGUUCUGGGCUAAGGCCAACUUAUUUUAUUUCUGUGGUUUGAGCUAAUAUAGGCUAUGGUUGGGUUAAUUUACACACUGAGUUUCCCCAAACUCACCCCUUUUUAUUUCCAUCCACGCAGGAAAUCCCCAACCAUAGUGGGCAUGGAUCUGUGAGGGAAUUCGGAGUGGCCACCCGUUCUGAAAGUUUGAUUUUCUUCUGGUGAACUGGACAUCCUUUUAAUUACGUUUGAGGUUUUAGGCUUUUAAAUGUAAUAAGGCCGCUUAUUUAUUUUUGAUGGUUUUUAUAUGUUUUAUUAAGAUAGGUAAUAUUUAUAUUUAACUGUUGAAAUUGGAUAGCUUUAGGGCGCGUUUUCAAAAACAGUAAUG
rnacentral:lncRNA from 1 species